ACAACUCUAGAGAUAGAGUCUUCCCCUUCGGGGGACAAAGUGACAGGUGGUGCAUGGUUGUCGUCAGCUCGUGUCGUGAGAUGUUGGGUUAAGUCCCGCAACGAGCGCAACCCUUAAGCUUAGUUGCCAGCAUUAAGUUGGGCACUCUAAGUUGACUGCCGGUGACAAACCGGAGGAAGGUGGGGAUGACGUCAAAUCAUCAUGCCCCUUAUGAUUUGGGCUACACACGUGCUACAAUGGACAAUACAAAGGGCAGCUAAACCGCGAGGUCAUGCAAAUCCCAUAAAGUUGUUCUCAGUUCGGAUUGUAGUCUGCAACUCGACUACAUGAAGCUGGAAUCGCUAGUAAUCGUAGAUCAGCAUGCUACGGUGAAUACGUUCCCGGGUCUUGUACACACCGCCCGUCACACCACGAGAGUCUGUAACACCCGAAGCCGGUGGAGUAACCAUUUAUGGAGCUAGCCGUCGAAGGUGGGACAAAUGAUUGGGGUGAAGUCGUAACAAGGUAGCCGUAUCGGAA
rnacentral:rRNA from 1 species